GCGUUCAUCAUUCCUUGAACUUCAAAAUUCAUCGCGUGCAGAAUACACUCCACCGAAAGAAAAAAAGUGAAAAAAUGUCUCUUUAAACAGUAAUUCCAUCCAGUUCUGUACUUCAAUACGGUCGGCACCGCCAGCGUUGAUGGAAGUUUUUUCCUCAUUCGAUGCUCGCAGCUUCCAUUAGGUAUCCUCAUUCGAAACAAGCUUGGACCGUUCCUACACAACCUUGAAUUUAUUUUUCCGCUGAACUCACAAACUCAUGGUACUUAAAAGUCAAAAGCCGAAGUGUGAAAAGUGAAGUUCGUGUGAAGUUUUGACCAAAAAUACCCAAAGUUUUUUUGUGACAUAACUAAGCUAAUAUAUCUCUUGAUUCAUAUAGCAUAACAAUAUCGCAUAGGCGUAGAGAAGCGGCUAAACUAACAUACAGGUCAGCACGCGGUUAGAAAAGUAAAACUAUUUCAUCCACACUUGCCGCCGAAUAACUGAAAGUUUAAAUUCGAGUGGUUCUGUGUCUUAUAUGUUUCUAGGAAUUUAACCUCCAUGCAUGGGUCCGUUGAUUUUUCUGCUCGUUGCAUGUUUCGGAGUACUAGCCGAAGAAUCAUCUCCGAAACAAAAGGAGUCCGAGGUGACGGAACCGUGCCACACAAUUCAGUUUAAAAGGGGUGAUAUCCUCUCUACACCCAAUUUAUGGAACAUUCAGAAUGCAAAGGUUCAGCCGCGGCACUGGUUCUACGCCGUGUCGAACAAAGAACUUUGGCACGUAGCCGCGGAUAGGAAUAUGAUGAAACAAAGAGGUUUUCCCGGCUACGUUACACCGGCGCACUUUUCUAAGGAGCGAUUGUGUACGAUACGACGGCGAGUCGAAGGCCGACCCAACACAGACGGUUCGGGACUCCUGCUCGCAAGAAGGAUGAGGAGCAUCCCCCUGUUUUUCGAUUUCCCGGGGUGCAACUGCCAUCACUACGUGGACUACAUCGCCUACGGCAAGACCUACGGCAGCUGGCGCUCGUGGCACUACCUCCCGGCUAGCAGCUACUGCCCCGUCCAUAACGAGUUCAACGUCGACACGAACGUCCUAUCGUCUGACUUCAAGCUCGCCCGGAAGAGCAGCAAUGGGACACUCGAGUACCUCGAGUGGCCCACGGGCUGGACCCAGCAGAAGAUGACAGAGGAGCUGGCCAACAGUCAUUGCUGUCCACAACCUGUGCGAGACGCGACGGGCGCCCUCAAGAGGAUGGGCAGUAGAGCCUGGUCCUUCACGAACCUCGCCCGCCUCACCUCGAAGAAGGACUGGUUGCAGGACCGUCCGAAUUCACCCAACGAACGUCAGGACUCACGCCUCACACACGUAGGUUCCUUCGACGAACGUCACGAUACAUCGAACAAACUAACGGCCUCGUUCAAGGAACCUAAACCUUCGUUCAAACGUACGGAUUCGUACGAAAAACGCGAGGUUGCGUUAAAAAAGGACUUCAGUCAUUCGUUAAGAAAGGUUACUCGUUCAAGGAAGGCCAGGGCUGGAUAAAAGGGGGCAAGAGUUUGCUUAGCAAAAGUCUCAGCCGGGCUAGGGAUGGACUAGGCUCCUUUAAAGAGGGUUCAGGCUCGACCAAGGGGAAAGGGGGCUUGCCCAAAGAGGCUCAGCAGCCUGAUUCCUGAAAUUUACUUCGACAUGAAAAGAAUCAAGGAUCGAUAUAUUACGCAGCGCAGAUAGGGCUAUGUCUUGUAUUCUUGCCGACAAAGGCGGUUAAAGUUUAAACAAUCGGGCUGCAGAGCUCAGGAAUUCUCGGCAGGAUAUUUAGGAGAGGGAGGAGGUCACACAUGAGGAUAUUCAUUCUUGUUGUGCUUUUUUUCUCAAAAGUGGGUCAGAAAACACCCUAUGUGCGACAUUGUUACGCACUUAUAUAGUAAAAUCGAUCGAUGUUCAAACCGUUUAGGGUUUUAAUUUUACUGGUGAUAUCAAGCUUCCAGGACUUAAUGUCCACCUACCUUUCGUCCAUUAAAUAAAUGUCCACCGCUAUUAAUGUCCACUAAACGUUAAGUCCAGUCUUUGUUAAGUCCAAAUGAUUUAAUGUCCAACCAUGAAUAUGCCCAAAAUUGUCCAAAUUGUGUACAUGUUAUGUCCACAUUUUUUUCUUCUCAUUUAAAUGACAGGAACCACCUCAAAAAUAAAUGCAUACUACUACUACCUUUCAUUCUUGAAAACAUUUCAUUCGUGAAUCAAGUCAUGAAAGAGAACUGACUUUAAGAGCAGAUAAAAGCAUAUGUUCAUGGUACACUGUACGGAUAUGAUAAGAUGAA
rnacentral:lncRNA from 1 species